GACGAACGCUGGCGGCGUGCUUAACACAUGCAAGUCGAACGGAAAGGCCCUGCUUUUGUGGGGUGCUCGAGUGGCGAACGGGUGAGUAACACGUGAGUAACCUGCCCUUGACUUUGGGAUAACUUCAGGAAACUGGGGCUAAUACCGGAUAGGAGCUCCUGCUGCAUGGUGGGGGUUGGAAAGUUUCGGCGGUUGGGGAUGGACUCGCGGCUUAUCAGCUUGUUGGUGGGGUAGUGGCUUACCAAGGCUUUGACGGGUAGCCGGCCUGAGAGGGUGACCGGCCACAUUGGGACUGAGGUACGGCGCAGACGCCUACGGGAGGCAGCAGUGGGGAAUAUUGCACAGUGGGCGGAAGCCUGAUGCAGCAACGUCGCGUGCGUGAUGACGGCCUUCGGGGUGUAAACCGCUGUCGCCUGUGACGAAGCGUGAGUGACGGUAAUGAGUAAAGAAGCACCGGCUAACUACGUG
rnacentral:rRNA from 1 species